UGAACAUAGUUUAAUAAAAACCCUGGGCAGUGGCCCCAAAGACAAAGUAUCCACUUUUGUUCACC
rnacentral:tRNA from 1 species